rnacentral:misc_RNA from 1 species
CCGGGUUUUGGUUUUGAUCUGCUCUGGAGAGGUAAUUGAUUUGAUGGAUCAUAAAUAUAAAUGCAUUUUUAGUUUAGUUGAUGGGUUUUCAAGUGCCUUAGGUUUUAGGUGGUAUUAAAGAGAAAGAGAGAGAGAGAGAGAGUCCUUAAUAAUUGGGUCUUUUGCGUAUUCUUGGGGGCGGAACCAUGGAAGUGGGUUUUAGAGAGGGUUGUGAGAACUGAGUUUUGGAGGAGGAGAUCGCUUGGUCCACUUUGUUUUAUACAGCAGAGAAAAGUGUGAGGCG